ACUGUUACGUUUCGGCUUUCAUCGUGUAAUGGCUGCGUCUUUCCGUUAAAAGAUAUUUUAACUAAAUAUCAAGAAAAAUAAAUAAAAAAAAAACAAAUUAUCUGUAUAGAGACUUUUUAAAGUUAUUCUUUAAAAUCAAUCAAUAAACUUUAUAAUAAUAAUAAUAGUGUUUUAAUCAUAUCAAAGGUGUGGUGUACAACGCCUAAAUCACCAAAAUGAGUUAUAUGCCAGCACAAAAUCGUACAAUGUCUCAUAACAAUCAAUACAAUCCACCGGAUUUGCCGCCGAUGGUUUCCUCCAAGGAGCAAACACUUAUGUGGCAGCAAAAUUCGUAUUUAGUGGAUUCUGGUAUUCAUUCGGGUGCCGUUACACAGGCACCUUCCCUCUCGGGCAAAGAAGAUGAGGAAAUGGACGGCGAUCCACUUAUGUUUGAUUUAGAUACUGGUUUUCCACAGAAUUUCACCCAAGAACAGGUGGAUGACAUGAAUAGCCAGUUGAGCCAGACGCGUUCACAGCGCAUACGCGCUGCCAUGUUCCCCGAAACAUUGGAAGAGGGUAUUGAAAUACCUUCGACCCAGUUUGAUCCACAACAACCAACAGCUGUACAACGUUUGGCCGAACCGUCGCAAAUGUUAAAACAUGCCGUUGUCAAUCUAAUCAAUUAUCAAGAUGACGCUGAGCUGGCAACACGCGCAAUACCAGAAUUGAUAAAAUUGCUCAAUGAUGAAGAUCAAGUUGUCGUUUCCCAAGCCGCCAUGAUGGUACACCAGUUGUCGAAAAAAGAAGCUUCGCGCCAUGCUAUUAUGAAUAGUCCACAGAUGGUGGCAGCUCUCGUACGCGCCAUUUCGAAUAGUAACGAUUUGGAGAGUACUAAAGCUGCUGUUGGCACUCUUCAUAAUUUGUCACAUCAUCGACAAGGUCUCUUGGCUAUAUUCAAGAGCGGUGGUAUACCAGCUUUGGUGAAACUAUUGUCUUCUCCGGUUGAGAGUGUUUUAUUCUAUGCCAUCACCACCCUACACAAUUUGUUAUUGCAUCAGGAUGGUUCUAAAAUGGCAGUUCGCUUAGCUGGUGGUCUCCAGAAAAUGGUUACCUUGUUGCAGCGUAAUAACGUCAAGUUCUUGGCCAUCGUUACAGAUUGUUUACAGAUUCUUGCCUACGGCAAUCAAGAGAGUAAAUUAAUAAUUUUGGCUUCUGGUGGCCCUAAUGAAUUGGUGCGCAUUAUGCGCUCCUACGACUACGAGAAGUUGUUGUGGACCACUUCACGUGUUUUAAAAGUCCUCUCAGUAUGUUCUAGCAAUAAGCCAGCCAUUGUAGAUGCUGGUGGCAUGCAGGCCCUCGCUAUGCACUUGGGCAAUCCAUCGCCCCGUUUGGUGCAGAACUGUUUGUGGACUUUGCGUAAUUUGUCCGAUGCUGCCACUAAAGUUGAUGGCAUGGAGGCUCUUUUGCAAUCCUUGGUCCAAGUAUUGGCAUCCACAGAUGUUAAUGUCGUCACUUGUGCAGCUGGCAUACUCUCUAAUUUGACAUGUAACAAUCAGCGUAAUAAGGCUACAGUUUGUCAAGUCGGUGGUGUUGAUGCUUUGGUACGUACGAUUAUAAAUGCUGGCGAUCGUGAGGAAAUCACUGAACCAGCCGUCUGUGCUCUACGUCAUUUGACAACACGUCAUGCUGACUCGGAAAUGGCUCAAAACGCCGUACGUUUGAAUUAUGGUCUCUCGGUGAUUGUAAAACUUUUACAUCCACCAUCCCGUUGGCCAUUAAUUAAGGCCGCCAUAGGUCUGGUACGCAAUCUGGCUUUGUGUCCAGCUAAUGCAGCUCCAUUGCGUGAACAUGGAGCCAUACAUCAUUUAGUACGUCUAUUAAUGCGUGCUUUCCAAGAUACCGAACGUCAACGUUCUUCUGUGGCCACUACUGGCUCACAACAGCCUUCGGCCUAUGCAGAUGGUGUUCGUAUGGAGGAAAUUGUUGAGGGCACUGUGGGUGCAUUACACAUUUUAGCUCGAGAGUCUCACAAUCGCGCUUUGAUUCGUCAACAGUCGGUAAUACCGAUAUUUGUACGUCUGCUAUUUAAUGAAAUAGAAAAUAUACAGCGCGUUGCCGCUGGAGUUCUUUGUGAAUUGGCCGCAGACAAAGAAGGAGCCGAAAUAAUUGAACAAGAAGGAGCCACUGGCCCCUUAACUGAUUUAUUGCAUUCACGCAAUGAAGGCGUUGCUACUUAUGCCGCCGCUGUUCUAUUCCGUAUGAGCGAGGAUAAGCCGCAAGAUUACAAAAAACGUCUCUCUAUUGAGCUGACCAAUUCACUUUUACGUGAAGACAACAACAUAUGGGGAAAUGCCGAUCUAGGCAUGGGUCCAGAUUUACAGGAUAUGCUUGGUCCAGAGCAAGCAUAUGAAGGCCUCUAUGGUCAGGGGCCACCGAGCGUACACAGCUCCCAUGGCGGUCGUGCAUUCCAACAAGUUGAGCCAGCCUAACAUAUAUCAUCAUUGAAUGCAAAUUUAAACUCCGAAUUUAUUUAAAAAAAAGAAAACGGAAGAAUUUUAUUAACUAACCACAAAAAAUCAAGUAUUUAACAACUUUAAUAAAAAAAAUAGAUGUUUUUCGAACCAAAUUAAAAAAAAAAAAAAACACAACGAGAGAGUAGUGCAUUCAAAAUAAGAAUUUUGCAAAAAGCCCAGUGUACACAUUAAAAUAUAUACAAAAAUAUGAUAUAUACGCAAUUAACGAAAACAAUAUUUAAUAGUUAUCCUAAACCUUCUUCUAUUUCAACUGAAUUAUGCUCAAAAAAAAAUGUUUGUUGUCCUGCAAAAUCUCACUUAAUACUUGUAGCAGGAUAUGAUACUUUACCAAUAGACUCUAUGCAGGGUCUUGAAAUCAGCAGUCCCGUAGGAGGCGGCGGCGGUGGUGGUGCCCCACCAAGUGCUGCACCAACUUCACCCUAUUCCAUGGAUAUGGAUGUUGGUGAAAUUGAUGCUGGCGCAUUGAAUUUUGAUUUGGAUGCCAUGCCAACACCACCCAAUGACAACAACAAUUUAGCUGCUUGGUAUGAUACCGAUUGUUAAACCGCAGAAGAAUUUAAAGAAAAAGUGGAAAGUAAAAUAACACUGCAUUUGAAAACAAAAAAUCAAAAUACAAAAUAUACAUUACAACUAAAUGUAGCUAUUUAAAUAUUUAAGAAAAUAAUAACAACAACAUAUAAAAAGGGAAACACCACACCACACCACAACACAUCUUUUUGGAAACAUAAACAAAUAUAAAAACGUCUUCUAAGGGCUGUUGCAGCUGCUGUUUGAUUUAAGAAAAAAAAAAUUAUAUACAACAAAAAACAAUUUAUAACAUAUUUAGCAUAUACAUAUAAAGAAAACAUGGAAAAAAUAACAAUUUUUACGAAUAUUUCUUAUAAUUAAUAACACUUACCUUACGUAAAAUGUAAUGACAACACUUUUAUUUUUUUUUUGUUUUAAAAUUUAUAUUUUUUAAACUUUUUUUAUUCUCUCGUUUAAUGAAAGUUUUUUUAAGCACUCUUAACAUUUUUUUAUCAUUACUAUUUUAUAUGACGAAAAGCAAAUAUGAAAGAAAAUAAGAAAAAACAAAAAUACCCCAAUUUUUUUUAGUAGUAUUAAAAUAUAAUAAACAAAAUUCCGUAUGCA